rnacentral:rRNA from 1 species
AUUGAUCGCUGGCGGCAUGCCUUACACAUGCAAGUCGAACGGUAACAGGUCUUCGGAUGCUGACGAGUGGCGAACGGGUGAGUAAUACAUCGGAACGUGCCUAGUAGUGGGGGAUAACUACUCGAAAGAGUGGCUAAUACCGCAUGAGAUCUACGGAUGAAAGCAGGGGAUCGCAAGACCUUGUGCUACUAGAGCGGCCGAUGGCAGAUUAGGUAGUUGGUGGGAUAAAAGCUUACCAAGCCGACGAUCUGUAGCUGGUCUGAGAGGACGAUCAGCCACACUGGGACUGAGACACGGCCCAGACUCCUACGGGAGGCAGCAGUGGGGAAUUUUGGACAAUGGGCGCAAGCCUGAUCCAGCAAUGCCGCGUGCAGGAUGAAGGCCUUCGGGUCGUAAACUGCUUUUGUACGGAACGAAAAGCCCUGGGUUAAUACCCUGGGGUCAUGACGGUACCGUAAGAAUAAGCACCGGCUAACUACGUGCCAGCCGCCGCCGUAAGAC